rnacentral:rRNA from 1 species
CAGCAGCCACGGUAAUACGUAGGGUGCAAGCGUUAAUCGGAAUUACUGGGCGUAAAGCGUGCGCAGGCGGUUUGUUAAGACAGAUGUGAAAUCCCCGGGCUCAACCUGGGAACUGCAUUUGUGACUGGCAAGCUAGAGUAUGGCAGAGGGGGGUGGAAUUCCGCGUGUAGCAGUGAAAUGCGUAGAUAUGCGGAGGAACACCGAUGGCGAAGGCAACCCCCUGGGCCAAUACUGACGCUCAUGCACGAAAGCGUGGGGAGCAAACAGGAUUAGAGACCCCAGUAGUCCCUGUCUCUUAUAC